CUGUCUCUUGUUUCAAUAUUAUUUGGACAGAACAG
rfam:TPA: Bos taurus chromosome X, whole genome shotgun sequence.